rnacentral:rRNA from 1 species
UUAGAAAAGCCCAGUAGCGAGUUGACAUGGUGCCCGUACCCCAAACCAACACAGGUGGACAGGUAGAGCAUACCAAGGCGAGUGGGAUAACUAUGGUUAAGGAACUCGGCAAAUUUCCUCCGUAACUUCGGGAUAAGGAGGACCCCAGUAGCGUGACGAGACUUGCUCUCCGAGCGUGAAGGGGUGGCACAAAAUUGAGGGAAGCGACUGUUUACCAAAAACACAGCAGCGUGCUAAGCCGUAAGGCGCUGUAUACGCUGUGACUCCUGCCCGGUGCUGGAAGGUUACGGGGAUGGGUUAGUCCUUCGGGACGAAGCUCUGAACCUAAGCCCCAGUAAACGGCGGCCGUAACUAUAACGGUCCUAAGGUAGCGAAAUUCCUUGUCGGGUAAGUUCCGACCUGCACGAACGGAGUAACGACUUCCCUACUGUCUCAACCAUAGACCCAGCGAAAUUGAAGUACGAGUAAAGAUGCUCGUUAGCUGCAGAAGGACGGAAAGACCCCGUGGACCUUUACUAUAACUUGAUGUUGUGUUUUGUCAUAUGUUGUGUAGGAUAGGUGGGAGACAAGGAAGCAUGGACGCUAGUCUGUGUGGAGUCAUCGUUGAAAUACCACCCUGCAUAUGGUGAGGCUCUAACCUAGACCCGUUAUCCGGGUUGGGGACAGCGUCAGGCGGGUAGUUUAACUGGGGCGGUUGCCUCCUAAAGAGUAACGGAGGCGCCCAAAGGUUCCCUCAGCCUGGUUGGCAAUCAGGCGUCGAGUGCAAUGGCAAAAGGGAGCUUGACUGCGAGACCUACAAGUCGAGCAGGAGCGAAAGCUGGGCAUAGUGAUCCGGCGGUUGCGUGUGGAAGCGCCGUCGCUCAACGGAUAAAAGGUACCCCGGGGAUAACAGGCUAAUCUUGCCCAAGCGUCCAUAGCGACGGCAAGGUUUGGCACCUCGAUGUCGGCUCAUCGCAUCCUGGGGCUGAAGCAGGUCCCAAGGGUUGGGCUGUUCGCCCAUUAAAGCGGUACGCGAGCUGGGUUCAGAACGUCGUGAGACAGUUCGGUCCCUAUCCUCUGUAGCCGUAGGUGAAUUGAGGAAAGCUGUCCCUAGUACGAGAGGACCGGGACGGACGCAGCUCUCGUGUGCCAGUUGUCCUGCCAAGGGCAUGGCUGGUUAGCGACCUGCGGAAAGGAUAACCGCUGAAAGCAUCUAAGCGGGAAGCCUCUUCCGAGAUGAAUUCACCCACAGGGUUAACCUGGUAAGGCCCGUGGUAGACCACCACGUUGAUAGGCCGGAAGUGUAAGCGUGGCAACACGUUCAGCUGACCGGUACUAAUCGGCCGAGGGCUUGAAUUC